AACGCCAUCUUGAUGCUCGGAAAUAUUUUUUUCUGUUUACCAAAAGGUUGAUUUAGCGGAUCGUACAUAUCAGAAUGACAAGUAAGUCAGCCACAUAAUAUUUUGAGAACAUGAGCUUGCGAUCUAUCUAUAUGACAAUAAUAAUCGCACAGAAAGAACUAUCUAAAUCAGACGAUCAAAAAGUUGUGCUAUUGAAAAUUAUUGAAAGGAAAUCGCAAGGCACUUGCGAUUUCAACUUUUUUCAAGAAAAUGACAUGGACAGUUAAACUAUUCUAUUUUUUUACAUAAUAUACCGUACACAUGGUGUUUAAAGUUCUACUGCUCGAUAUUGGAAAACAAAAAUUAAAUCAAAAAUCAAAAUAACGAGUUUGCAGUUGCAUGUUGACAUUGUUGUUGUUCUAUUGAUAUGCUAAUCAAAUACCACGUCAUAAAUUAUUUACCACACAGUCAUGCCGAAUCCUUGAAAUAGUUCCUAUUUAAGUGUUGGCAGAAUGUAAGUGAAAAACAUCCUAAAUUUUACAUAAUUUAUAUUGCUUGAUAUAGUCAUCAUGGUCAUGUAAUGUUUUUUUUUUACAAAAAUGUACCAUGUUUCAUUGUUUGUACUCUCAGUCAUUGUUAAUUGUCAGGUCAGUUGUAAAUUGUUGUAUUGCACAUGGUAAGCAUUUUUUCUCAAUUUAUAUAAAGGCACCCAAAGGUGUGGUAUGAUUGCCAAUGGGACAACUCUCCACAACUUGUGGCACAAGAGACCAAAUGACACAGAAAUUAACAUUUCUAUAGGUCAAUGUACAGCCUACAAGAAUGAGCAAAGCCCAUAGUGCAGUCAGCUAUAAAAGGCCCAGAAAUGACAAAUAUAUAACAAUUCAAGCGAGAAAACUUACUUAUUUGUACGAAAAAAACACCAAAAAUAAUAAAUAUGUAUUAAACAUGUCAUCAACAAACGACAACCACUGAAUUGCUAUUCUCCUGAUUUGAGACAUGCACAUACAUACAGAAUGUGGCGGGGUUAAACAUGUUAGCUGGAUACCUACCGUCCCCUAACCUGGGACAGUGGUGCAACAAUACAACACCAUAACAAACUAUAAGAAUCAAUUGAAAUAGACCUAAUAUAUUGUAAGUAAAGUUAGUAAAGAAAUCUUUAUUUACAGUUUGGUUGCAUAUAUAUAUAUAUAAAUAUUAAUAGCAAGGAACAUUGAAUUUUAUGCUUUUAAUUAGAGCUCUUUAAGGAUUAAUAUUUUGUACAUUUUUGCUAACCAUGGAAAUUUCCGAGAAAGUCCAGCCUUUCCUUUAUACUGUACAUUUUGUAAUAUUUGACCAUUCUAUAUACAUGUACAUUUUUUUGUACAUGUACAAUGUAUGCUUGAUAGAUAGAGCAUAAUUGCAUACCUUCUAACAUGUAGCAAUAAUUUCCUUUGUAUGACAAGUUUAUAAAUCAAAUUCAUGAAAUUAUUGGUUACAACAAAUGUAAAUAUGGGCCAAUUCAAAUACAUCUUCUAAUGUGCAUUCAACUUUAGUAACUCACCAGGAGGAUUCUUGGAAUGUAAAGGUUAGUCAGGCCUUUUUGUAAAUAACGGACAAUUGCAUCCCAUUAUCCCUAUUUUCUAUGGCAUGCAAUAAUUUAAAACAAUAAAUAAUGUACAUGUAUCUGCGUUGAAAGGAGUUUUCCCUUGGGUAACAUGCAUAUGUGCAAAAUGGCACAUCUCUAAUACAUGUAUUCAUUAUUUUCGCUGUUUUGACAUUUUUGAUAUUAUUGAACUAAAAACAUUCCAAUUUUUUUUCUUCAAACCUGUAGAUUUUGAGUGUUGCAGAUGCUGUACAUUAUGCAGAGGUAUGUGAAAUGGAAAGAAAGAGAUAUAUGAACAUACAGUGACUGUUUUGAAUUUAAGGUGUACCGGUAAGUACAAAAUGUACAUUGUAUAUAUAUAUAAUAUAAUUAUUAAAAAAAUGAUAUAUCAGCUUAUCAGUGAAUGUUAAAACAUUUAUUAGAGUUCUAUAUUUCAGUUAAAGUAACAAUUUUUGUUAUUUGUGUAUACAGCAAGGCAAAUGUAAAAGUUAGUUUGUUAAUACAUGUAGUACAUUACUCAUCUUACAAUAUCAUAUUUAUAGAAAAAAAUAAUUUUAUUGGACUGUUUUCCUCUGUUGGAUAUGCAAUUGAUAUUAAAAUGAAUCAUCAGUAACACAAAAAAACUUUAUCUUCAGAGGCAGAUUAAGGGGGCAGUGGCCAACCCCCACCCCACCCCUUUUUUGUGGGUUGAUUAUAUAGUGGGUCUCAUUGGAGUCUGAAUGUGACGCGGGAUUGCCGAUUUUUUGUAAGCGUAACAUGUGAAAGUCAAAUUAUUGUGUCUGGAAAACGGGAAAUGAGGUCUAGCGGGACCCAGGAAAAUAACAAAAAAAUGAGAAUUGCUUACGUACAUAGUGUAAGCGGGAUACGGGAAUCUGACAAAACAGUAAGCGGAAUCCGGGAUCGGAACCCCCCCCCCCCCCCCAAUAAUGAGACCCCCUAUAUAGGGAAUUACUGAAGCAUGACUGGAAUGGGACCCCUCUGAUGACUAUUUCUGGAUACAAAUGAUAUUUAUAUUAUAUAAUAACAUGCAAUUGUUUUAAAUUCUUGAUUUAUAUUAUCCGAUAUCUAUAUGACUCUUCUCUUUUUCAGGUAAAAAUGUCGAGCUACAAAUUGUACCAAAAAAGAUAUUGAAAAUUUUAAAACUGUUUUAACAAGGGCAUCAAAAAAAAGAAAAAAAAGAACAAUACCAGGGCUGAACUUUUGUGGCUGCAUGCAAUUAUUUCUAAAAUACCAGGAAACAAGAUGUAGCUGCACAGAAGACACGGCAGAUCAUGAAAUUGCAUAUAAAAUAAGGAAUGCUAGAAUCCAAGAAAUCUUUUAACCAAGUCAAGUGUUUAUAAGACAUGUAAUCAUGAAAAUACUAACACAUAUAUUAGUAUUCACAGUCACAUGUAAUAUCCCAAAUAUAAGAACUAUAUGGUAUGUGUGACUAUGUCAUGUUACAACAUGUAUGCUCAGAAUAUUUUAAUGUCACAAGGAUAUGAACUGGAUAAAUGAAAUAUUGUCAACCAUUUAAAUAAAGCAGACUGGCUAACAUAAAAAUCAACUGUCUAUAGAUGUGAAAGUUCAAGUUGAAUAAAAUUGUCUCGAAUUAACAUACCAUAUAUCCAAAAGUACUGAAUUGCCU
rnacentral:lncRNA from 1 species